AUACACUAUUUUGUCAGAAGGAAGAUGGCUGGUAUAUCUUGUUUCAGCAUAGAGAAAAAUUUGUUGUGUCAUGAAAGGACCAAAAUAUCGAUGUUUCCUGAUGAAAAAGGCCAACCAAUGAAGUUUUGAAGUAAAGCAUAUUGAAGAGUUUAACACAUACUAAUAAGAAAGCCCCCAGAACUGUAUGACAAAUAAGAAUCUUUAAUUCAUAAAGGAUGUAACCUGUAUGUUUUGCUAUAGAAACACACAAUGGACUUAGACACUGUUGGAGAACACAGUUCCUUAUCAAGUAGGGGACAAGUGAUCUAUGAAAUGGGAAGUCAAGGGAUGCAAAAGGAUAAGAAAUUCCUCAGCUGAAGAAGAGGUGUCACAGUUGACUGUUGAUGGCAAACCAGAAGGCAUCAGGCCCAAACAUCAAUGAGAUGAUGGAAGGCUCCAAGAAAGAAUUUCCCAGAAUAAAAUGGAACAGAAAUUAUAAAGCAGACUGGACCUGUGGAAAGUUGAAAAUUGGAAGAAUAUAUGAGUGAAUUUAAGAGCAUAAGAAUUAUUAGCAAUAGACACAUGUGCAAUUUAAAAAUUUUAAAAGCACCUUAAUGUCUAUAGUUUUAAAUGUUAACCUUUUUUUCUCUAGUGCUGAAGCUGGUGCCUGAAGGAUCUCCAAGAGUGCUCACUGAAAGAUAAGCAAAUGAAUGCGUGAAUAAUAAUGAACUUGGCACUUUGUUGCUCUACCAGCACCAGGACACUUACUUGAACAGAAACUUCAUGUUUAAUGUUAAACUUGACUCAGA